rnacentral:rRNA from 1 species
ACACGUAGGGGCCUGACGUUGUUCGGAAUCAUUGGGCGUAAAGGGCGCGCAGGCGGCCGUCCAAGUCCGGUGUUAAAUGGUCGGGCUCAACCCGAUCAUGCGCUGGAAACUGGGCGGCUUGAGUCCCGUAGGGGAUGCCGGAAUUCCAGGUGUAGGGGUGAAAUCUGUAGAUAUCUGGAAGAACACCGGUGGCGAAGGCGGACGUCUGGCCAUGUACUGACGCUGAGGCGCGAAGGCGCGGGGAGCGAACAGGUUUAGAUACCCUGGUAGUCCGCGCAGUAAACGAUGCGCACCAGGUGUCGGGCGGCAGCGCCCGGUACCGGAGCAAACGCGAUGAGUGCGCCGCCUGGGGAGUAUGCCCGCAAGGGUGAAACUCAAAGGAAUUGACGGGG